GUGGGGAAUAUUGGACAAUGGGCGCAAGCCUGAUCCAGCCAUGCCGCGUGAGUGAUGAAGGCCUUAGGGUUGUAAAGCUCUUUCAGUGGGGACGAUAAUGACGGUACCCACAGAAGAAGCCCCGGCUAACUUCGUGCCAGCAGCCGCGGUAAUACGAAGGGGGCUAGCGUUGUUCGGAUUUACUGGGCGUAAAGCGCACGUAGGCGGAUCGUUAAGUCGGGGGUGAAAUCCUGGAGCUCAACUCCAGAACUGCCUUCGAUACUGGCGAUCUUGAGUACGGAAGAGGUGAGUGGAACUCCUAGUGUAGAGGUGGAAUUCGUAGAUAUUAGGAAGAAAACCAGUGGCGAAGGCGGCUCACUGGUCCGGUACUGACGCUGAGGUGCGAAAGCGUGGGGAGCAAACAGGAUUAGAAACCCGAGUAGUCC
rnacentral:rRNA from 1 species